CCAUGUGUGAGGAAUGUUAAGGGACACGAUGAUGUCACAGACCAGGCACCAGGCCGUGCUGUGAACACCUGCUAUUUCCUGUGACUUUCAGGGCCAGAAAGUUGUCAGGUGUGAGAUCUAUAGGUUUUUCUAAUUUAAAACCUUAUGCAGGUCUAUGCAUAAGCUAAUUUUCCACAAAACUUGUUACCUUUUCUGAGGGACAACUUCAGCCUCCACAGCAAUUCAUAACAGCAUUUGGUAGACUUCUCCAAGCCAUUUGACUCUGAAUGAUGAGCCAAUACUGCACUUGGACCAUGUGAAAAGGCAGAGGUAGAAGUGUUGGCCUGCAGCUGGGAACCUCGGCACCUAGCAAGGUAUCUUACACCUGUCUGGAAGAUACUGUUAGCAUGUAUACUCAAAAAGCCAAGAAAAAGGUUGCAAAUGCACGAAUAUAAGUCUACUAGUCAAGGAGAGGGAAGACUAUCAGAAUUGCACACUCAAUAUUCAAGACUUCAAUUAUGUGCUAAGGAGCCAUUUCACCAAACAGAGGAACACAACUACAACUUGUUUUAUUACUGAUGCACCAAAAGAAUUUAGAACUAUUCGGAGCACAAUCAAUACUCAAACCACAAACCCUGGAUGGACUUCACACAAAUGCUCAGAAAUAAGAAGUGGAGAAAAAAAAUGGUUGCUAUACAACCUAUAGACCAAAUGAAGCUGGCUUUCUACAAUACAAGGAACACCAACAAUCAAUAUCCACAUUGAUAAAAUAAAAUCCAGAUUUCCACUUCUUUCUUAAU